rnacentral:tRNA from 1 species
CGGGGUGUAGUAUAAUGGUAAUACGCGAGCAUGGGGUGCUUGUGUCGGGAGUUCGAUUCUCCCCACCCCGA